AGUGAACGCUGGCGGUAGGCCUAACACAUGCAAGUCGAACGGCAGCACAGUAAGAGCUUGCUCUUACGGGUGGCGAGUGGCGGACGGGUGAGGAAUACAUCGGAAUCUACUUUUUCGUGGGGGAUAACGUAGAGAAACUUACGCUAAUACCGCAUACGACCUACGGGUGAAAGCAGGGGAUCUUCGGACCUUGCGCGAUUGAAUGAGCCGAUGUCGGAUUAGCUAGUUGGCGGGGUAAAGGCCCACCAAGGCGACGAUCCGUAGCUGGUCUGAGAGGAUGAUCAGCCACACUGGAACUGAGACACGGUCCAGACUCCUACGGGAGGCAGCAGUGGGGAAUAUUGGACAAUGGGCGCAAGCCUGAUCCAGCCAUACCGCGUGGGUGAAGAAGGCCUUCGGGUUGUAAAGCCCUUUUGUUAGGAAAGAAAAGCAGCAGGUUAAUACCCCGCUGUUCUGACGGUACCCAAAGAAUAAGCACCGGCUAACUUCGUG
rnacentral:rRNA from 1 species